CUUCAACCCCUCCUGGUAAUGACGAGAUAUUUGGAGAUAAGGAUUUUGAUUUAAGAUAUUUUUGAUGUAUUUUAUUUUUAUUUGAAAAAUAUUGUAAUACAAUUUGAUCAGUAAUAUAAUUUGAGUAUUUGAGAUAUAUUCCUGUAUUAUUAUUAAAUUUUAUGUGAAAUUUUUGAUUCUUGUAAAUUUUAGUUUGAAUAAUUAUAUAUUGAAUUGUCUAUCAGGUAAAAAAUGAUAAAUUUAAGCAGUUGGAAAGUUACUACUACAAGA
rnacentral:lncRNA from 1 species